UCCUUUACCUUGUGUAUAUGGUAUAAGU
rnacentral:misc_RNA from 1 species